UAAUACGAAGGGGGCUAGCGUUGUUCGGAUUUACUGGGCGUAAAGCGCACGUAGGCGGAUCGUUAAGUCGGGGGUGAAAUCCUGGAGCUCAACUCCAGAACUGCCUUCGAUACUGGCGAUCUUGAGUCCGGAAGAGGUGAGUGGAACUCCUAGUGUAGAGGUGGAAUUCGUAGAUAUUAGGAAGAACACCAGUGGCGAAGGCGGCUCACUGGUCCGGUACUGACGCUGAGGUGCGAAAGCGUGGGGAGCAAACAGG
rnacentral:rRNA from 1 species